AUGAAACAAAAACAAAAUGAGAGAUUAAAUCUGAAAAGAAAUAAAAGGAUGGGAUUGAAGUGCGCUUGAAUAGUGGAGGGGCUGUGCGAGCAAAUAGACCAUCAAACGAAAUACGCGGAUCCUUCCAUCGGGUCGGGUCACCGCGCGGGUUAUAGGGCCAAUACGGCGCCGUUUUGGUGGCCACUGAUUCAGGCCCUAAACGCCGCCGUUUCGACACCCCACAAGAACCAACUUUAAAACCCUAAACAGGGUUAUUCGGCCACUAGGACAUAACAGAGAAAACUUUGCCUCUCCCCUCUCCUCUUGCGCCGUUCAUCGCCUCAAAACAAGGGCUCUCCGAAUCCCAUGCACGGCUCCGAUUGCGGCGGAGCGAGCUCGAGACCGGUCACCAGGUACGGUCGUACGAGGGCCAGCUGGGACGUGGCACGCACGGAUGUGCGUGGGAACGCACGUACGGAGGCUCGCGUGAUGGUGGUGCACGUGAGGCUCGUGUGUGAGGGCAGUGGCUGCUGGGGGUUUGCGUGCUGUGGCGGCUGGAGCUGUUUCAGAAACUGCUAGGGUUUCUGCUUAUGUUCUGGGCUCAGAAUCGGGUCUAAGUUUAGGUAUUGGGUUGAGAUUUGGGCCAUUGGGCUGGUGUUUUAAACAUAAAAAUUUUUGUUUUUAUUUUUAUUUUUAUUUGAUAUAUAUUUUUAUUAAAGGCCGGGCAAAUAUUGGGCCUUACAACUUUCUUCACAAAA